rnacentral:rRNA from 1 species
UACAGAGGGGGCAAGCGUUGUUCGGAAUUACUGGGCGUAAAGGGCGCGUAGGCGGCCUGUUAAGUCGGACGUGAAAUCCCCGGGCUCAACCCGGGAACUGCGUCCGAUACUGGCAUGCUUGAAUCCGGGAGAGGGAUGUGGAAUUCCAGGUGUAGCGGUGAAAUGCGUAGAUAUCUGGAGGAACACCGGUGGCGAAGGCGACAUCCUGGACCGGUAUUGACGCUGAGGCGCGAAAGCCAGGGGAGCAAACGGG